GAUGAAGAACGCAGCAAAAUGCGAUAAGUAAUGUGAACUGCAGAAUUCAGUGAAUCAUCGAAUCUUUGAACGCACAUUGCGCCCGCCAGUAUUCUGGCGGGCAUGCCUGUUCGAGCGUCAUUUCAACCCUCAAGCCCUCGGGUUUGGUGUUGGGGAUCGGCGAGCCUUUCUGGCAAGCCGGCCCCGAAAUCUAGUGGCGGUCUCGCUGCAGCCUCCAUUGCGUAGUAGUAAAACCCUCGCAACUGGAACGCGGCGCGGCCAAGCCGUUAAACCCCCAACUUCUGAAUGUUGACCUCGGAUCAGGUAGGAAUACCCGCUGAACUUAAGCAUAUCAAUAAGCGGAGGA
rnacentral:misc_RNA from 1 species